UCAUUUCCAUCAGUUAGGAAAGGCAAAAGCAACUGUGCGCGGGCGAUUAUCGCGUAGAGCUUUUAUCGAAAAGCGUAGGUGCAGGCGAAAGCUAGUUUAAAAAUCCCUGUGAAACAUUUCGUAAUACAGUGAGAGCCGCGAAGAAUGAUACGCACAGAUCAUAGUGGGACGCCAUUAGAAAUUUUAGACGGUCACAAGUCGGACAAGACACCAAUACACACAACAAAACGCAGCCUCUAAACCCUUGAAGAAGGCGAAAUAUACGCCGAAACGUCGGAGAAGUAGAAGCAAAAGUCGUUUUAGCUGCCUUAAGACUGAUAGAGCCGAUAAAACUUUAGAAA